rnacentral:rRNA from 1 species
UACGUAGGGGGCAAGCGUUGUCCGGAUUUAUUGGGCGUAAAGAGCGUGUAGGCGGUCAGGUAGGUCCGUUGUGAAACUCGAGGCUCAACCUCGAGACGCCGGUGGAAACCAUCAGGCUAGAGUCCGGAAGAGGAGAGUGGAAUUCCUGGUGUAGCGGUGAAAUGCGCAGAUAUCAGGAAGAACACCCGUGGCGAAGGCGGCUCUCUGGACGGUACUGACGCUGAAGACGCGAAAGCGUGGGGAGCGAACAGG